CGCGUAGGCGGGUUAUUAAGUUGUGGGUGAAAUCCCGAGGCUCAACCUCGGAGCUGCCUGCAAAACUGGUGACCUGGAGGUAUGGAGAGGGAAGUGGAAUUCCAGGUGUAGCGGUGAAAUGCGUAGAUAUCUGGAGGAACACCCGUGGCGAAGGCGGCUUCCUGGCCAUAUCCUGACGCUGAGGUGCGAAAGCUAGGGGAGCGAACGGGAUUAGAUACCCCGGUAGUCCUAGCCGUAAACGAUGGAUACUAGGUGUUAGAGGUAUCGACCCCUCUAGUGCCGGAGCUAACGCAUUAAGUAUCCCGCCUGGGGAGUACGACCGCAAGGUUGAA
rnacentral:rRNA from 1 species